rnacentral:lncRNA from 1 species
AAUUUCCAUAUGAAGUUUAGAAGUUGGAAAAAAAUUAAAAACAGAAGCUUGCUGGAAUGUUGAGAUUGUAUUCAAUCUACACAUCAAUUUGAAGAUAAGUAAUAUCUUAAUCAUAUUGCAUCUUCUUACCCAUAUAUAUGGUAUAUUUUUUCACAUAUUUAACUCUUAACUUUUCUCAGCAGUGUUUUACAGUUUUUAGUGUAAAGUCUUGCACAGCUUUUGACAGUGUUAUCCUUAAGAGUUUAAUUAUUUAAUGCUAUUAUAAGUGGAAUAGCAUUUUUUAUUCAAUUUCUGAUUGUUCUUUGCUCUUAUGUAGACAUAGAAGUGACUUUUGCACUUUGGUAUAGUAUUCAAAACUUUUCUAAACUCAUUUAUUAGCUCUCAUUAUUUUAAAGUAAAUUUCAUAGAAUUUUCUAUAUAAACAAUCAUAGCCAAUCUGCAAAUAAGUUGUUUUAUUUCUUCCUUUACAAUAUUUUUAAAAAUUAUUUUUAAAAGGACCUUUUUUUUUCUUUUAUUAUUUCAUUGACUGAACUCUCUCGUUCAAUGUUGAACAAAAGUAGUGAGAGUGGACAUUCUUGCCUUGUUUUCAGUCUAACAGAGAAAAUAUUCAGCGUGUCUUUCAUCAUUGAGUAUGAUGGUAAAUGUAAAUUGUUGGAUUUUUUUUUUUUUGUAAAAACCCUUUUCUUGAUGACGUUCCCUUAUAUUCCUAUCUUACUGUGAAUUUUUAUAAGGAAUCAUUUUGGAUUUUACUUUCUCUGCAUCUAUUGAGAUGAUCACACAUUUUUCAUUUUAAUUUGUUAACAUGGGUAAUUACAUUGAUUAGUUUCCUAGUGUUAAAUAAUCUUGCACUCAUGGGAUAAACCCAACUUGUUACAAAGUAUUAUUCUAUAAUUUUGGAUUCAAUUUGCUAAACCUUUGUUAAGCACCUUUGCAUUGGGUUUUAUGAAGGAAAUUGGUACACAAGAUUUUCUUUUCUUACAGUGUCUUUGGUUUUUAUAUUAGGAUAAUGCUCAUCUGCCUGGCUCAGUUGAAAAGUAUUCAUUCCCUCUAUAAUUCUCUUGAAGAAUUUUAUAAAAUUGGUAUUUUUUCCCUUCCUUUGCUAUUUGUUCAGAUUUUCCACGGAAUUUUUGAGCCUGGAGUUUUCUUUGUUGGAAGAUUUUAAGUUCUAAUUCUAUUCCUUUAACAGAAAAGGAUUAUUUUAAUAGUUGCAUCAGUGGUAUCCUGCAAAUUUUGAUGUUUUGUUUGCAUUUACAGUCAGUUUGGAAUACUUAAUAAUUUCCCUUUAAUUUCUUCUAUUAUCCAAGGACUAUAUCAGAAUGUGUAGUUUAGCUUCCAAAUAUUUGGGAAUUUUCUAGAUUUUUUUUUCUGUCAUUGAUAUCUCAUUUAUUUUCAUUGUGAUAAAAGAACAUACUUUACAGACUUAAAACCUUUAAAAGUUAUUUAGAUACAUUUUAUGGCUUAGAACAUUGUCUGUCUUGGAAAAUGUACCAUGUGUGCCUGAAAGAAUAGGUGUACAUAUUAUUGUUGGAUGUUCUGUAAGUGACAAUUAGGUCAAAUUAGCUGAGAGUGGAUCUGGGGUUGUGGCUCAGUGGUAGAGAGCUUGCCCACAAGUUCAAUUCUCAGCACUACAUAAAAAUAAAUAAAGGUGUUGUGCCCAUCUAUAACUAAAAAAAAUGUUAAAAAAAAACUAGCUGCGAGUGUUCUUCAUCCGUUGUAUACUUACUGAUUUUCUGUUAACACAGUUCAGUUAUUGAAAGAGUUUACAUACCAUUUUGCAUCAUGAUACCUUUUAAUGUUUAAUUAAUACUUCAUGAGAGAAGGAUGCUGUGACUGUCAUCUGGAAGAUGUAUUAUUGUUGAUGCAUGAGAGCAUCCUUCAUUAAUAGCAGCAGCAUAAAAACAAGUUAAAGAAGUUGUUCUAUAAAUUUAAAUCUUGAAAUGAAAAGUUUAAGUUUUUGACUGAUAUGCCAGUUGGCAGUUUCAAUCAGACCAAUCUACAAAAUGAUACACCAGGGCCCAAACUCUAAUGGUUGUGCUCGUAAUUUCAACUUACUUUUUUAUUUAGUUAUAGAGAACUUUCCUUGAAUAAAAUGUUACCAGGUGCUUAAAUAUGUAUAACCCACAAAAGUGUUUUAUCUGUUUAAAAGUGUUGAAGGCACAAAGGAUAGAGAUGGGCCAUCUUUACCUGGACUCCAACUGCUUAGCCUCAUUUGGGGUAUGAUUCUCUUUCUCUCAGAGACAACGCCGGAGGCACUUCAGCCAACGCCUAAGACACUGUGGAACGUUGAAUUCCACAGAUCUGCCUCAAUACUCUGAUAAACAGAAAGAUGAUCCCAAAUACUCACUGGAGUAGAAUGGUAAAUAGAUUUCAACUCUUGUGUCAACCAUAUGAAUUGGCAAACUGCCUAGAGAACUGUUUGAAAAUGUUUCUGAAGUAAAAAAAGAAUAUGCUGGGUGUGUAGUGCACAUCUGCAAUCCCCGUGACCCCAGCGGUUGAGGCAGGAGGGUCACAACUUCAAGGCCAGCCUGGGCAACUUAGUGAGACUCUGCUCAAAAUAAAAUAAUAAACAAAGUAUGGAGAUAUAGCUCAAUGGUAGAGUAUCCUUGGGCUCAAUCCCAGGUACCACAAAAAAAUAAAUAGAUAAAUAAAUAAAUAAAUGUAAUAAGAGAAUAUGUUCAAUCAUCAAUGUCAGGAAUUCCAAUGUCAUGCAUUUGGUAUUCCUGGUCUUGAGAAACAUGCCAAUCUGAUAUUCAAAUCUAGUUUCACAUGAUAUCUGCUGGAUUGAAUUAUAUGUUUGAUAAAUUAGGAAAACUAUGCAAUGGAGUUAGUGAGGCUUUUCCAAAUUGAAAUCAACUGAGAAUGCUUAGGUAACCACGUAGGAGACAGAUUUUUAUAAGGACACCUGGGAAAGAGGCUGUGCAGGAAACCGUCUCGGAGUUUCCCUGCAGGUGAGCUGGUGAGCUGGCCAGGGAACCCCAAACAGCCGACUGCUGCUCUCUCCUAGUGCUUUGCUGUUGUUUUGACUCAGCUUCUCUCUCCUUUUCUUUUACAGCUUCUGCCAUGAUAAAUUCUAGUUCUUUUUAUCUCAAGGCUUCUGCUUUCUUUCUUUAUGUCUCCCUGCUACUUUCUUCUCCAUACACCUCCAGUUCAAAUUCCCUACAGAGAAAGUCAACCUUCCAGAAUGGAGUGCCCCCUGGGGAAGAAUUUCCAUGCCAUGUUUCUGAAUCACCACUUGACAGCUCAUAGAAAGCUUCAUUAGAUCAGGUGCCCACCCCAAGUCCAAUCACCUGAGCUAAGGUGGCCGAACCACAAGGUACAGAGGAUGGAGAAGGGACACCUGUGUCUGAAGGGAUGCUGAUGAAUCCCAGCAGGGGGCAGUGUACCUGUCAGGCAUGGACAUGGCCUGUCCAUUACAGUGAUCUUCAACAGUAUAGUUAUAGUUGUACACUGACUGGACUUGCUUCCUAUUAAAUGGAGAGCAAUUUUCAUAUCACCAGCUAACAUUUUGGUUUUCAAACUGCUUGGCAAAAAGUCUUGAACUCUGCCCAGAAGAGAGACUCAGUAGUAUGUAGGACUCAAAGCUAGGUGAGUCCAUUUUCAACCAGAGCAGUUUCAUGUUAUUCACUUUUAUUAAUUGAAUUUUCAAAUAAAAUUUCACUUGAUGAUGACAUUCUACUAUUCAAAAAUAGUUUGAGUACCCCUGAGCCAGAGGAGCAGAAAAACUUUUGUUUGGAUAACUUUAAAAAAUUUAAAAAGUAGAGUCGUACACUUUUUAAAAGAGAAAUCAAAUAGUAAAAAUUAACAAGAUACACAAUGAAAUAUGAAAUAUAUUUUAACCAGUUUUCUGUAAGAAGAUUGGGGAAAGGUAAACAGGAAAGUCAAAUAAGAGUAUUUCACAACAUUAUAGUCUUCAUUACAAUUGCUUUAAUGUUUUAGAUGUUCUCAGGGAAAUUACUUAGCUGUGAUUGUUUAUAUAUGCUUAUUCAGUAGGAUCAAUAUUUUGAUAAGAAUGAUCAGAUCAUGGGCUGGAUUGUAGCUCAGUGGUAGAGCACUUGCCUAGCAUGUAUCAGGCCCUACAAAACUAACAAAACCCAAAAAACAAAAACAGUGAUCAGAUUAGAAAUUCAUAAGAGUUAAAACAACAUGUCAUUGGAGUUUAUGUUUGACUCUGUUCACAGACACAGAACACUGCCACUUCAGGGUACAAGUCAUAUUAAUUAGCUAUUUAUAAUGAACUGAUAGACUAAGUUGCAUCAUAGAAAUUGCUUGUGUCUUACAGGUUAGGUCAAUAUAUAAUUGUUUUUAUCAUAGGAACCAUAUUCAAUACACUCCAUCAUCUGCCAAGAACAGUUUUUGGAAACAGAAGACAUAUCAGACAUGGUGGUGCACACCUGUAAUCCCAGUGACUCGGGAGGCUGAGGCAGGAGGAUGGCAAGUUUGAGGCCAGCCCCAGCAAUUCAGUGAGGCCCUGUCUCAAAAUAAAAAAGGACUGGAAAUAUAGCUCAGUGAUAAAGCACCCCUGGGUUCAAUAGCCAGUACCAAAACAAACAAACAAACAAAAAUAAACACUGAGGACAUCAUGAUGGUAUUUACAAGCCUGAGUUAUUUUUGUAAUUGAGGAAACAUAUCCUUAUUCUAGCAGUUGGGCCAUCCCAAUAUCUACCAUCCAAUGAUAAUGUCAAGCCACCAUCACCGGCUGGCACAGCAAAUAAAACUAUGGAAACAUGUUGGGCAUUCCACUUCUAGGGCUAAGGAAAUCUACCCCUAAUCCAUCCUGAGAAUGCCCCCCAAGGUAUUCCUUGUUAGUGCCAGGACACUGGGCACUUUUCAGAGUCUACAUGUAUUCAUGAUUUAAGCAGAUAAUUGUUCUAGUAGUCUUAUUUCCCAGAAGACUUGUUAGAUUGAAAGUGUAAAAAUUUGCAGCUUAGCUGUAAAAACACCCAGAUGUGUACAUGGUGGUCCCUCAUCUCCUGGCUGAGAUUACUCCAGAGAAUUCUCACUGCUGAUAUCACUGAGCACAAAAGGGAGAGGGAAGGAUGUUGAAGGGAGUCACAUGGUGUGAGAGGUUUUCUUUCUUGUGUCUUUUAGAGUUUGAUCCAACAGCCUGAUUGGGCUGACAUGAUGUCAAGUUUUGGUUCCUAUUUGCAUUAAAAGGUGAGGCAAUUGGAGUGGAAGCAGAUGUUCGGGCAGUUAAAAAACUCUGCAAGGCAAGUCAUCAACAUCAAAGUCAACUAACAAUGGUGGAAACACUGUGAUAUUCCCACUUUUUUUUUUAAAUAAAUAGAACAAUAACUGGCUUCCAGUACUUAUAUUAAUAAGUAGUAAAAUGCCCCUUUCCUUUUCGUCAUCUCUCUAAUUUGCAUAUGGACAUCUAAACAAGUCGGUUGAGAUGGAACUUUGAUUUAUUUAAAUGGAUGUGCAUAAACAUAGUUAUAGGGGAGAAAAACACAAUAAAAACAUUAUGUUAAUUAAUUUUUAUGUUUAUGUGUACUUAAGCACUCUGGAGCUUUGAUCCUGUUUAACCAAACUAAAGACCCUGUUAUCAUUUGAAUAUGACUUAA